GUGUACCCGCGGCAAGACGGAAAGACCCCGUGAACCUUUACUAUAGCUUGACACUGAACAUUGAGCCUUGAUGUGUAGGAUAGGUGGGAGGCUUUGAAGCGUGGACGCCAGUCUGCGUGGAGCCGACCUUGAAAUACCACCCUUUAAUGUUUGAUGUUCUAACGUGGACCCGUUACCCGGGUUGCGGACAGUGUCUGGUGGGUAGUUUGACUGGGGCGGUCUCCUCCUAAAGAGUAACGGAGGAGCACGAAGGUUGGCUAAUCCUGGUCGGACAU
rnacentral:rRNA from 1 species